AGCGAACGCUGGCGGCAGGCCUAAUACAUGCAAGUCGAGCGGCCCUUCGGGGCAGCGGCGGACGGGUGAGUAACGCGUGGGAAUGUGCCCUUUGGUACGGAACAACACAGGGAAACUUGUGCAUAUACCGUAUGUGCCCUUCGGGGGAAAGAUUUAUCGCCAUUGGAGCAGCCCGCGUUGGAUUAGGUAGUUGGUGAGGUAAAGGCUCACCAAGCCUACGAUCCAUAGCUGGUCUGAGAGGAUGAUCAGCCACACUGGGACUGAGACACGGCCCAGACUCCUACGGGAGGCAGCAGUAGGGAAUCUUGCGCAAUGGGCGAAAGCCUGACGCAGCCAUGCCGCGUGAAUGAUGAAGGUCUUAGGAUUGUAAAAUUCUUUCACCGGGGAAGAUAAUGACGGUACCCGGAGAAGAAGCCCCGGCUAACUUCAUGCCAGCAGCCGCCGUAACAC
rnacentral:rRNA from 1 species